rnacentral:lncRNA from 1 species
CUCAUUCUACAUAUGAGUCUCGAAUUGAAACUGAACAAGUCUCUUUUGACCUACUUCAUCAAGAAACUUACCUAAACCCACCGUCCAAGAAAACCAACCUUCUAGACUUUCUCAAAAAAAAAAAUCUAUCUCUUCCACUUGUUAUCCAAGCAAAUUUGGAAGAAAUCAAACCUAUUUAUCUUGUAAAAUGCAUAUUCUAGUUAAUAAGAGAACCUCGACUUCUGACCUAGCAGCUUAUGUUGCUAAGUGGGAUUCUCUCUCU